rnacentral:rRNA from 1 species
AGCCAUGCAUGUCUAAGUAUAAGCAAUUAUACCGUGAAACUGCGAAUGGCUCAUUAAAUCAGUUAUCGUUUAUUUGAUAAUACCUUACUACUUGGAUAACCGUGGUAAUUCUAGAGCUAAUACAUGCUGAAAAUCCCGACUUCGGAAGGGAUGUGCUUAUUAGAUAAAAAACCAAUGCCCUUCGGGGCUCUUUGGUGAUUCAUGAUAAUUUUACGGAUCGCAUAGCCUUGCGCUGGCGACGGUUCAUUCAAAUUUCUGCCCUAUCAACUUUCGAUGGUAAGGUAUUGGCUUACCAUGGUUUCAACGGGUAACGGGGAAUUAGGGUUCGAUUCCGGAGAGGGAGCCUGAGAAACGGCUACCACAUCCAAGGAAGGCAGCAGGCGCGCAAAUUACCCAAUCCCGACACGGGGAGGUAGUGACAAUAAAUACUGAUACAGGGCUCUUUUGGGUCUUGUAAUUGGAAUGAGUACAAUUUAAACCUCUUAACGAGGAACAAUUGGAGGGCAAGUCUGGUGCCAGCAGCCGCGGUAAUUCCAGCUCCAAUAGCGUAUAUUAAAGUUGUUGCAGUUAAAAAGCUCGUAGUUGAAACUUGGGCCUGGCUGGCGGGUCCGCCUCACCGCGUGCACUCGUCCGGCCGGGCCUUCCUUCUGAAGAACCUCAUGCCCUUCACUGGGCGUGUUGGGGAAUCAGGACUUUUACUUUGAAAAAAUUAGAGUGUUCAAAGCAGGCCUUUGCUCGAAUACGUUAGCAUGGAAUAAUAAAAUAGGGCGUGCGUUUCUAUUUUGUUGGUUUCUAGAGACGCCGCAAUGAUUAACAGGAACAGUCGGGGGCAUCAGUAUUCAGUUGUCAGAGGUGAAAUUCUUGGAUUUACUGAAGACUAACUACUGCGAAAGCAUUUGCCAAGGAUGUUUUCAUUAAUCAGUGAACGAAAGUUAGGGGAUCGAAGACGAUCAGAUACCGUCGUAGUCUUAACCGUAAACUAUGCCGACUAGGGAUCGGGCGAUGUUCUUUUUCUGACUCGCUCGGCACCUUACGAGAAAUCAA